AUAAGUAACGAUAAAGCGGGUGAAAAGCCCGCUCGCCGGAAGACCAAGGGUUCCUGUCCAACGUUAAUCGGGGCAGGGUGAGUCGACCCCUAAGGCGAGGCCGAAAGGCGUAGUCGAUGGGAAACAGGUUAAUAUUCCUGUACUUGGUGUUACUGCGAAGGGGGGACGGAGAAGGCUAUGUUGGCCGGGCGACGGUUGUCCCGGUUUAAGCGUGUAGGCUGGUUUUCCAGGCAAAUCCGGAAAAUCAAGGCUGAGGCGUGAUGACGAGGCACUACGGUGCUGAAGCAACAAAUGCCCUGCUUCCAGGAAAAGCCUCUAAGCAUCAGGUAACAUCAAAUCGUACCCCAAACCGACACAGGUGGUCAGGUAGAGAAUACCAAGGCGCUUGAGAGAACUCGGGUGAAGGAACUAGGCAAAAUGGUGCCGUAACU
rnacentral:rRNA from 1 species